AGUACAGGCCGUAUUAAGGCGAAACCGCGAAUGGCUCAUUAAAUCAGUUAUGGUUCCUUGGAUCGUACUUUGUUACUUGGAUAACUGUGGCAAUUCUAGAGCUAAUACAUGCAGCAGAGCUCCGACCUUCGGGAACGAGCGCUUUUAUUAGACCAAAAUCAAUCGGGCCUUGUGUCCGUUGAACGUGGUGACUCUGUAUAACUUUUGGCUGAUCGCACGGGCUCGUCCCGGCGACGUAUCCUUCAAGUGUCUGCCUUAUCAACUGUCGAUGGUAGGUUAUGCGCCUACCAUGGUCGUAACGGGUGACGGGGAAUCAGGGUUCGAUUCCGGAGAGGGAGCCUGAGAAACGGCUACCACAUCCAAGGAAGGCAGCAGGCGCGCAAAUUACCCACUCCCGGAACGGGGAGGUAGUGACGAAAAAUAACAAUACGGGACUCUUUUGAGACCCCGUAAUUGGAAUGAGUACACUCUAAAUCCUUUAACGAUUAUCAAUUGGAGGGCAAGCCAAGUGCCAGCAGCCGCGGUAACACUUGCUCCAAUAGCGUAUAUUAAAGUUGUUGCGGUUAAAAAGCUCGUAGUUGGAUCUCAGUUCUAGUCGGGCGGUCCGCCUAACGGCGGUAACUGCCCGUUCUGAACAGUCGAGCCGGUUUCCCUUGAUGAUCUUCACCGGUUGUCUCGGUUGACCGGCAAGUUUACUUUGAAUAAAUUAGAGUGCUCAAAGCAGGCGUGACGCCUGAACAAUGGUGCAUGGAAUAAUGGAAUAGGACCUCGGUUCUAUUUUGUUGGUUUUCGGAACACGAGGUAAUGAUAAGA
rnacentral:rRNA from 1 species